ACCUUUCGUCUCCCUCGACUCAAAACAAUUGAUAGAUCUAGAGAAGGCAAUGGACAAAAAUCCGGAUGGUUCUAUCUAUGUUCCCAAGGAAGCAAAGGAACAAGGAAGCCAGAUGAAGCCAUAUCCACAAGAUUCAAGUGAUUUGCGUGAACCAACCUUGAGUGAUAGUGAUAGGACACUAACAGAUAGUUGUGAUAGUGAGAGGACACUAACAGAUAGUUUUGGAGAGAUCCAAGCGAUGGAUCUUGGUGGUGAAUCAGAAGUAGAUUCUGUAUUGGUGCUUUCUCAAGAAAAAGAGGAGAUAUUUGUUGGUACUUCAGCAACAACACAUGCUAACAGUAUCAGAAGCAUCCAAGAGAGAGGUCCUGGUGAUGAAUCUGAAGUUUUUUCAAGAGAGGUUGUUUCUAUCGGGAAACAAGUACACUCUAACGGCAAAGACAUUGGUGAUAGAGUGAUAACUCCAGUGAAGUUCAUACCUGAACAUGAACAAACUGCUACAAUUUUUUGAAGGAAAACUCUUCCAACAUCCAAAGUGGAAAGAAAUUCAAGAACAUAUCUCGAGAAGAUAAUGGUGGGCACAAAACUCAGAAAUCAAGAAAUCCUAAUUUACAAGGGAAUGGCACUAGUGAGUCCAAAAGAGGAAGAACAAAUGGCCAAGUGCACCUCUCAUUUUCCAAAGCUCUUGAAAAUUCAAGAACCUUGAGUGAUAGUGAGAGGACACUUACAGAUAGUUUUGGAGACAUCCAAGAGAUAUAUCAUGGUGGUGAACCCGAAGUAGAUUCUGAAGUGGUGCUUUCUCAAGUAGAAGGGGACAAAUUGGUUGCUACUUCUGUGAGAACACAUGCUAGCCAUAUAAGAAGCAUCCAAAAGAGGGACCUUGGUGAUGGAUCUAAGGUUGUUUCUACAAAAAUUGUUGCUAUCAGGAAACAAGAAGUACACUCUAAUGAGAAGGACAUUGAAUUUAGAGCGAUACCUCCAACCAAGAUCAUACCUAAACAUGAAGAAAGUGCUACUACAAUUGUUUUGAAGGAAAACUCUUCCAAUAUCCGAACUGGAAAGAAAGUCAAUAAAAGAUCUCGAGAAGAUAAUGAUCGGCAUAAAAC